AGAAAGUUUAGGUGAAAUAGCCCGAAAUAUCUUGACUCUCCAAAAUCAGAUGGAUUCCCUAGCAGGAGUGGUGCUCCAAAACAGAAGGGGAUUAGACCUCCUGACUGCAGAAAAUGGUGGACUUUGCCUAUUCCUAGAAGAAGAAUGUUGCUUUUAUGUCAAUCAGUCUGGCCUACUUAGGGAUGCAGCAAAGAAACUCGCAGAUAGAGCCUCACCAAUCCGACAACACAUGUCUGAUUCCCAGGGAACCUGGUCAAAGUUCUGGAAUUGGUUCCCAUGGUUGUUGCCCUUAUUAGGACUUCUGUUGAUGAUCAUUUUGGCCUUUGUUUUCAGACCCUGCUGCUAAACUUAACUAAAUUCAUUUCUUCUCGUCUAGAGGCCACAAAACUGCAGAUGGUUGUGCAAUGGGGACGUCAGCCCCCUGGAACCUCUGCUGAUUCCUAUGGUGUGCUGUACAGCCAGACAAUGGCCUUCCCAACAACAUGCUUCGAAACCACCCCGCCAACCUGGCCUCAACCCCACUCUCUCACCUAGAUCAGACAGGAUGAGAGUUUCAUGAUCCCCAGUAGACAGAGUCAACGCCCUUCUCCAGCAGGAAGCAGUUCUUUAUUCAAGACACCAAGAACAUGGAUUUUACCAGCAGAUCUUAACCAUGAGCACCACCAACACUCUGAGCAAAGUACGUGUCCCAGAAUGGGCUGGUCCAUGUGUGCUUACUCCCUGCCCCGAGACGCUCCUCAGAACUGCAGCUUCCCAGAAUUUCUCCACUUGCUGGUAUUACCAGUGCAAGCCACAGGACUUGGUUUUUAAUCUGUGUGAGAUGGAAAGCCAACGGGGGGCUUGGACAAGGGAGAGGCAAGAGCUGAACCACACAUGAAGAGAAUCGCUCCGACUGCCGUGCGGUGACUCCACCGGACAGCAGCUGGGAGACUGCUUGGGAGGACGCUGCCCGAAUCCAGACGGACAUGGGAGGCGACUCGGGCGGAGGCGGUGGAAGAGGGAAGAGGUGACUGGACGGCUUCUGGAGGUAGACGCGAGAUAGGAUGCUGGUGGAUGUAAGAGGAGAGAAUGCAGGCACAUCUCAAGACCCCUGGCCGGAGCAUCUGGAAGGAUGCGGUUUCCACUGGCCAGGAUGGCGCAGACCGGGGAGAAGCAGGCUGAGGGAAGGAGGAGCCCAGCUCUCGAUGUGUGAAGUGUGAGGGGAGGUGACCUUCCAGUGGGAUGCGAGUUUCAAGUGAAGGGCCGUCAUUCGGGCCCAAGGUUUGAAUUUGGGAGUCAGUCCUGUAUUUGUGGCAUCUGAAGCCAUGAGGCUUACAUUACGGAAAUGUUCCCAAAAUGUUAUGUGUGAAGUAUUUGUUUUCGUAAAUGGCCCAUUUUGAAGGUAAUUAGAGAAAAUGCUACUUUCAA